UACGAAGGGGGCUAGCGUUGUUCGGAAUUACUGGGCGUAAAGCGCAUGUAGGCGGCUAUUCAAGUCGGGGGUGAAAUCCCAGGGCUCAACCCUGGAACUGCCUUCGAUACUGUUUAGCUUGAGUGUGGAAGAGGUUGGUGGAACUGCAAGUGUAGAGGUGAAAUUCGUAGAUAUUUGCAAGAACACCGGUGGCGAAGGCGGCCAACUGGUCCAUUACUGACGCUGAGAUGCGAAAGCGUGGGGAGCAAACAGG
rnacentral:rRNA from 1 species